AGUGGGCAGGACCAGAUGAUGAAGAGCCUUGAGUAUCAACCCAAAGCCAGGGAAUCUGGAGCCCAAGAUCGACGUGGAUUAAUGUGUGGGGAAAAAUAGCAGAUGUUCUUCCCAGAUUUCCUUCAUGGAAUUUGUUCAAAAGAAAUUUCAUUAUGCCUAAUUGAAGUGAAAAGCAAGACCACAGGGACACAAAUGUGGGCUGAUCUCUUUGAAUGAGACACAAGACAGAGUUUGUCUGUCCUUCUGAGGAAACAGGGAGAAGGAGGGGUUAAGUUUGUUGGGGGGUAGCUGAGAGGAGGUGGAUGCCUCUGGCUUCAUGAUGAGAUUGCUGUCCUGCUGCUGGACUCACCAAAUGGUGAGAAAUGCCAAGUUGGGGAAUCAAGAAAGCACUUUAUAUGGAACAGUAAUCACUGGGUUACCUAACACCUUCUCCAGUUCAACGUACAUUACAAGAGUUCUGGAGGUCAGAAUGUCCAGAAUGGGUCUGACUGGCUAAAAUCAAGCUGUAGGUUUUCCCAAGGGAUGAAGAACUGGAAAAAAAAGCUUACAUUAAAAGGUUGUUUCUUUUGGGUGUUAUUGCAAUGUAAAAUUGAACACAUAUAAAAUUCUGUUUCUUUGCAUGGAAAAGCAGA